AAGNGGGGGNAACNGGAACCAGGGAUUNAANUNCCCNUGGUAGUCCCCCNCCGGUAAACCANUAAGUUGCUAGGUGUCGGGGGGUUACCCCCCCNUCGGGUGCCGCAGUUAACCCCAAUAAGCCCCUCCCGCCUGGGAAGUACGGUCGCAAGACUGAAACUCAAAGGAAUUGACGGGGGACCCGCACAAGCAGCGGAGCAUGUGGUUUAAUUCGAAGCAACGCGAAGACCCUUACCAGGACUUGACAUCCUUUGCAUUACCCUUAAUCGGGGAAAUCCCUUCGGGGACAGAGAGACAGGUGGUGCAUGGUUGUCGUCAGCUCGUGUCGUGAGAUGUUGGGUUAAGUCCCGCAACGAGCGCAACCCUUGUCUUUAGUUGCCAUCACUUCGGGUGGGCACUCUAAAGAGACCGCCGAGGAUAACUCGGAGGAAGGUGGGGAUGACGUCAAAUCAUCAUGCCCCUUAUGUUCUGGGCUACACACGUGCUACAAUGGCUGGUACAACGGGAAGCGAAAGAGUAAUCUGGAGCCAAUCUUAAAAGCCAGUCUCAGUUCGGAUUGUGGGCUGCAACUCGCCCACAUGAAGCUGGAGUUGCUAGUAAUCGCGGAUCAGAAUGUCGCGGUGAAUGCGUUCCCGGGUCUUGUACACACCGCCCGUCACACCAUGGGAGUUGGGGGCACCCGAAGUCAGCUAUCUAACCGCAAGGAAGAAGCUAAAAAGGUGAGUCA
rnacentral:rRNA from 1 species